AGCAGCCGCGGUAAUUCCAGCUCCAAUAGCGUAUAUUAAAGUUGUUGCAGUUAAAAAGCUCGUAGUUGAAUUUCGGGAUCAAUUUAUUGGUCGUGCUAUUGUACGUACUGGUAUUAUUGAUUUCUACCUUCUGACGAACCAUGAUGUCAUUAAUUUGGUGUCUUGGGGAAUCAGGACUGUUACUUUGAAAAAAUUAGAGUGUUUAAAGCAGGCUCACGCUUGAAUACAUUAGCAUGGAAUAACGAAAUAGGACGUUUGAUUCUAUUUUGUUGGUUUCUAGGAUCGACGUAAUGAUUAAUAGGGAUAGUUGGGGGCAUUAGUAUUCAAUUGUCAGAGGUGAAAUUCUUGGAUUUAUUGAAGACUAACUACUGCGAAAGCAUUUGCCAAGGAUGUUUUCAUUAAUCAAGAACGAAAGUUAGGGGAUCGAAGACGAUCAGAUACCGUCGUAGU
rnacentral:rRNA from 2 species